CACUCCCAAGCAGGCCAUUCUCCAAGCAGUGACCCAAGCAUUGGCUUUGAAGACAGGCGGGGAUAACGUCACCAGCUUUGUGGCUCUGGCUUCCACUUUCUCAUUUGCAAGUGCAAGUGCAUUCACUGAUGGAGGAGAAAUCUAUGCCAUGCAUUAACAUGGCAAGUCCAUUUAAACAGCAAACAUGUAAGAAGUAGUCAAAUCUGAAGUCUCCUUUCAACUAAGCCCCAGGAUGAAUGCUCCUCCCAUUCCUUUUGGC
rnacentral:lncRNA from 1 species